rnacentral:tRNA from 1 species
GAUAAGAUGGCUGAGUUAUAAGCAAUAAAUUGUAAAUUUAUUUACGGAGUAUAUCCUUUUAUCA